AGAAGAAGAAGAAGAAGAAGCAGGAGCAGAAGAAGAAGCCAUUAGAUUCCUGACAACACUUUGAUCAAUAGUCUUGAAAGAGAAAGAUAGAGUAUAACUUUUGUCUUCCACGGCUUGAACGGGACAGAAAGCAGCAAGAGGGAGAAUAGAAAGACUGGGUUUUUAUUGUGACAAUUAUUGGAAGUGACAAAGAAAGUGGAUAAUGUGUUCAGAGAGAGAGAGAGGA
rnacentral:misc_RNA from 1 species